rnacentral:rRNA from 1 species
UUAAAUUGAAGAGUUUGAUCAUGGCUCAGAUUGAACGCUGGCGGCAGGCCUAACACAUGCAAGUCGAACGGUAACAGGAAGCAGCUUGCUGCUUUGCUGACGAGUGGCGGACGGGUGAGUAAUGUCUGGGAAACUGCCUGAUGGAGGGGGAUAACUACUGGAAACGGUGGCUAAUACCGCAUAACGUCGCAAGACCAAAGAGGGGGACCUUCGGGCCUCUUGCCAUCAGAUGUGCCCAGAUGGGAUUAGCUUGUUGGUGAGGUAACGGCUCACCAAGGCGACGAUCCCUAGCUGGUCUGAGAGGAUGACCAGCCACACUGGAACUGAGACACGGUCCAGACUCCUACGGGAGGCAGCAGUGGGGAAUAUUGCACAAUGGGCGCAAGCCUGAUGCAGCCAUGCCGCGUGUAUGAAGAAGGCCUUCGGGUUGUAAAGUACUUUCAGCGGGGAGGAAGGUGUUGCGGUUAAUAACCGCAGCAAUUGACGUUACCCGCAGAAGAAGCACCGGCUAACUCCGUGCCAGCAGCCGCGGUAAUACGGAGGGUGCAAGCGUUAAUCGGAAUUACUGGGCGUAAAGCGCACGCAGGCGGUCUGUCAAGUCGGAUGUGAAAUCCCCGGGCUCAACCUGGGAACUGCAUUCGAAACUGGCAGGCUUGAGUCUUGUAGAGGGGGGUAGAAUUCCAGGUGUAGCGGUGAAAUGCGUAGAGAUCUGGAGGAAUACCGGUGGCGAAGGCGGCCCCCUGGACAAAGACUGACGCUCAGGUGCGAAAGCGUGGGGAGCAAACAGGAUUAGAUACCCUGGUAGUCCACGCCGUAAACGAUGUCUACUUGGAGGUUGUGCCCUUGAGGCGUGGCUUCCGGAGCUAACGCGUUAAGUAGACCGCCUGGGGAGUACGGCCGCAAGGUUAAAACUCAAAUGAAUUGACGGGGGCCCGCACAAGCGGUGGAGCAUGUGGUUUAAUUCGAUGCAACGCGAAGAACCUUACCUGGUCUUGACAUCCACAGAACUUUCCAGAGAUGGAUUGGUGCCUUCGGGAACUGUGAGACAGGUGCUGCAUGGCUGUCGUCAGCUCGUGUUGUGAAAUGUUGGGUUAAGUCCCGCAACGAGCGCAACCCUUAUCCUUUGUUGCCAGCGAUUAGGUCGGGAACUCAAAGGAGACUGCCAGUGAUAAACUGGAGGAAGGUGGGGAUGACGUCAAGUCAUCAUGGCCCUUACGACCAGGGCUACACACGUGCUACAAUGGCGCAUACAAAGAGAAGCGACCUCGCGAGAGCAAGCGGACCUCAUAAAGUGCGUCGUAGUCCGGAUUGGAGUCUGCAACUCGACUCCAUGAAGUCGGAAUCGCUAGUAAUCGUGGAUCAGAAUGCCACGGUGAAUACGUUCCCGGGCCUUGUACACACCGCCCGUCACACCAUGGGAGUGGGUUGCAAAAGAAGUAGGUAGCUUAACCUUCGGGAGGGCGCUUACCACUUUGUGAUUCAUGACUGGGGUGAAGUCGUAACAAGGUAACCGUAGGGGAACCUGCGGUUGGAUCACCUCCUUACCUGAAAGAA